rnacentral:rRNA from 1 species
GAUUUCUGGUAUGGCGCACUUGGCCCGCCGAGGUUACUCGGUAGUGUGCCGGUGUGCGCCUGCCAUCCAUCUGGGGGAACGGGCCCUGCCCUUCACUGGGUUUGGGUUCGGUAAUCCAGAUCGUUUACUUUGAAAAAAUUAGAGUGUUUAAAGCAGGCUUACGCUAUGAAUACAUUAGCAUGGAAUAAUAAUUUAGGACUUUGGUCUUAUUUUGUUGGUUUCUAGGACUAAAGUAAUGAUUGAUAGGGACAGUUGGGGGUGCUAGUAUUCAGCGGCCAGAGGUGAAAUUCUUGGAUUCGCUGAAGACUAACUUAUGCGAAAGCAUU